CAUAUAUUUUCAUAUAUUUGUAUAAUUUUCAUAUUUCAUAAUUUCAUAUAUUGAAAAAUAUUGCAUAAUUUUCAUAUAUUUGUACAGUUUACAAAAUUCCUGGGUACAUACAUGUUUGGAAUGUUUAUAUCCUCUUGCUGAAUUGAUUCCUUUAUCUUUAUAUAAUUACUUUUUUCUCUCUUUUUAUAGUUUUUGACUUAAAGUCUGUUUUAUUAUACAAAUAUAGCUAUUGCGUGAGCUUUUGGUUUCUGAUUGCAUGAAGUAUCUUUUUCCAUCACUUUACUUUCAGUCUGUAUAUGUCUUUCCUUGUAGGUAGCAUAUAGUUUGGUCUUUAAAAAAAAUCCAUUCAGCCAGUAUGGCUGUCAUUUUAUUAAUUGAUUUCUGGUUAUUUUGUAUAUAUCCUUUAUUUUUCUCUUAUUACUUAUCUUAUGAUUUGGGUUCCUGUAGUGGUAACAUUUGCAUUCUUUCUCUUCCUUAUUGUCUGUUUGCUCUAAAAGUGAGUUUCACACUUUCAUGUGUUUUCCUGAUGGAAUAUAUUUCACUUCUAAGAUUAAUAC
rnacentral:lncRNA from 1 species